UAGAGGAAGUAAAAGUCGUAACAAGGUUUCCGUAGGUGAACCUGCGGAAGGAUCAUUAUUGAAUAAACUUGAACAGGCUGUUGCUGGCCCUCUCUUGUGAGGGGGACAUGUGCACGCUUGUCAUCUUUAUCUCUCCAACUGUGCACACAUUGUAGACCUGGAGUCGUCUUUGUUGAUUCAUUCGAGUUGGCACUGCAGCGCUUUUCAAAACAAAAAAAAGUCUGCUCUGCCUUUUGCAUUUCCAGGUCUAUGUCAUUUUCACAACCUCAAUGUGUUUAGAAUGUCGAAUCAGGUCCUUUUUUGUACCUAUAAAAGUUAAAUAUACAACUUUCAGCAACGGAUCUCUUGGCUCUCGCAUCGAUGAAGAACGCAGCGAAAUGCGAUAAGUAAUGUGAAUUGCAGAAUUCAGUGAAUCAUCGAAUCUUUGAACGCAUCUUGCGCUCCUUGGUAUUCCGAGGAGCAUGCCUGUUUGAGUGUCAUUUCAAGUUCUCAACUGCAUCAAUUUCUCGUUGAUGUGGCUUGGAUGUGGGGGAUUGAUUAUUGCAGGCUUCUGUCAAAGGAGGUCGGCUCCCCUGAAAAGUAUUAGUGGUAUCUGAGCAGAAGAAACUACUAUAGGUGUGAUAACUAUCUAUGCCUUCAGUAUGCUGCAUAAAAACAGAUUGCACUGCUUCUAACCUAGUGAAAACCUCUCUCUACAAGGAGGGGCCACAUUUGACGAAUUUGACCUCAAAUCAGGUAGGACUACCCGCUGAACUUAAGCAUAUCA
rnacentral:rRNA from 1 species